rnacentral:rRNA from 1 species
AACGAACGCUGGCGGCAGGCCUAAAACAUGCAAGUUGAGUGGCUACUUCGGUAGCAGCAGCGCACGGGUGAGUAACACGUGGGAACGUGCCCCUGGGUGCGGGACAACGUCUGGAAACGGACGCUAAUACCGCAUAAUGACUCCGGUCCAAAGAUUUAUCGCCCAGGGACCGGCCCGCGUCUGAUUAGGUAGUUGGUGGGGUAGUGGCCUACCAAGCCGGCGAUCAGGAGCUGGUCGGAGAGGAUGAUCAGCCACACUGGGACUGAGACAGGGCCCAGACUGCUGCGGGAGGCAGCAGUGGGGAAUCUUCGGCAAUGGGCGAAAGCCUGACCGAGCAACGCCGGAUGGAUGAUGAAGGCCUUCGGGUUGUAAAAUUCUGUUAUAAGGGAAGAACGACUUUAGUAGGAAAUGGCUAGAGUGUGACGGUACCUUAUGAGAAAGCCACGGCUAACUACGUGCCAGCAGCCGCGGUAA